rnacentral:misc_RNA from 1 species
UGACCACAGCUCCUUCCUGCAGU